rnacentral:rRNA from 1 species
AGUGAACGCUGGCGGUAGGCCUAACACAUGCCAGUCGAACGGCAGCACAGUAAGAGCUUGCUCUUACGGGUGGCGAGUGGCGGACGGGUGAGGAAUACAUCGGAAUCUACUUUUUCGUGGGGGAUAACGUAGGGAAACUUACGCUAAUACCGCAUACGACCUACGGGUGAAAGCAGGGGAUCUUCGGACCUUGCGCGAUUGAAUGAGCCGAUGUCGGAUUAGCUAGUUGGCGGGGUAAAGGCCCACCAAGGCGACGAUCCGUAGCUGGUCUGAGAGGAUGAUCAGCCACACUGGAACUGAGACACGGUCCAGACUCCUACGGGAGGCAGCAGUGGGGAAUAUUGGACAAUGGGCGCAAGCCUGACCCAGCCAUACCGCGUGGGUGAAGAAGGCCUUCGGGUUGUAAAGCCCUUUUGUUGGGAAAGAAAAGCAGCAGGUUAAUACCCCGCUGUUCUGACGGUACCCAAAGAAUAAGCACCGGCUAACUUCGUG